CCUACGGGAGGCAGCAGUGAGGAAUAUUGGUCAAUGGACGAGAGUCUGAACCAGCCAAGUCGCGUGAAGGAUGACUGUCCUAUGGGUUGUAAACUUCUUUUAUAAGGGAAUAAAACGAGGCACGUGUGCCUUGUUGCAUUUACUUUAUGAAGAAGGAACGGCUAACUCCGUGCCAGCCGCCGCGGUACUACGGAGGAUACGAGCGUUAUCCGGAUUUAUUGGGUUUAAAGGGUGCGUAGGCGGUCAUUUAAGCCAGCGGUAAAAGGUAGGGGCUCAACCCCGGCCUGCCGUUGAAACUGGGUGCCUUGAGUGGGCGAGAAGUAUGCGGAAUGCGUGGUGUAGCGGUGAAAUGCAUAGAUAUCGCGCAGAACCCCGAUUGCGAAGGCAGCAUACCGGCGCCCUACUGACGCUGAGGCACGAAAGUGCGGGUAUCGAACAGGAUUAGAUACCCCAGUAGUC
rnacentral:rRNA from 1 species